AACGAACGCUGGCGGCAUGCCUAACACAUGCAAGUCGAACGAGCACACCGGGACUAGUGGCGCACGGGUGCGUAACCCGUCGGAACCUGCACUCAGGUAUGGAAUAACUCCCCGAAAGGGGUGCUAAUAGCGGAUAAUGUCUUAGGACCAAGGAUUUAUUGCCCGUGGUUGGGCCAGCGUUGGAUUAGCUAGUUGGUAUGGUAAAAGCCUACGAAGGCGACGAUCGAUACAUGGUCUGAGAGAAAGAUCACCCACACCGAGACUGAGACGCGGCCCGGAAUCCUACGGGAGGCGCCAGUGCGGGAUAUAGCACCGUGGCCGGAAUCCUGAACCAGCAAUGCCACGUAAAUGAUGAAGUCCUUAAGGUUGUAAAGUGCUUUUACCCAUGAUCAUAAUGACAGUACCGGGAGAGUAAGCUCCGGCUAACUCCGUG
rnacentral:rRNA from 1 species